GUCUCCCUCCCAACCACCCUGAACGUGCCCGAUCUCAUCUGAUCUCGGAAGCUAAGCAGGGUCGGGCCUGGUUGUUAGUACUUUGAUGGGAGACA
ensembl:rRNA 5S_rRNA 5S ribosomal RNA